UCCAAUAGUCACAGAAGAUUAAAAAACUGUAACUUAGAUUAAAACGGGAACAUUUGUAAAAAAGAAUAAACUAAAUAAUAGUUCCAAGUACUUUACAUUUGAAAGAAAAACAAAGACCGUGGUUUAAAACUGU
rnacentral:sRNA from 1 species